rnacentral:rRNA from 1 species
CACGUAGGACGCAAGCGUUAUCCGGAAUUACUGGGCGUAAAGAGCGUGUAGGUGGUUGUGUAAGUCAACCGUGAAAGCUCCCGGCUAAACUGGGAGAGGUCGGAUGAGACUGCACGGCUAGAGGGUCGUAGAGGAAUGUGGAAUUCCGGGUGUAGUGGUGAAAUGCGUAGAGAUCCGGAGGAACACCAGAGGCGAAGGCGGCAUUCUGGACGACAUCUGACACUGAGACGCGACAGCACGGGGAGCGAACGGG